rnacentral:rRNA from 1 species
UACGGGGGGGGCAAGCGUUGUUCGGAAUUACUGGGCGUAAAGGGCUCGUAGGCGGCCAACUAAGUCGGACGUGAAAUCCCUCGGCUUAACCGAGGAACUGCGUCCGAUACUGGAUGGCUUGAGUUUGGGAGAGGGAUGCGGAAUUCCAGGUGUAGCGGUGAAAUGCGUAGAUAUCUGGAGGAACACCGGUGGCGAAGGCGGCAUCCUGGACCAACACUGACGCUGAGUGAGCGAAAGCCAGGGGAGCAAAACGGG